rnacentral:rRNA from 1 species
AGAGUUUGAUCCUGGCUCAGGAUGAACGCUAACGCCUAACACAUGCAAGUCGAACGGGACUUUGUUUGUAGCAAUACAGGUAAAGUUUAGUGGCAAACGAGCGAGUAACGCGUACUUAAUCUGCCCAAAAGAUGAGAACAACUAUAGAGAUGUAGCUAAUUCUCAAUAUGCUCACGAUGGUGAAAUUCCAAUGUGAGGAAAGAUUUAUCGCUUUUGGAGGAGGGUGCGUCCUAUCAUGGUAGUUGGUAAGGUAAUGGCUUACCAAGCCUUCGACGGGUAGCCGGUCUGAGAUGAUGUCCGGCCGCGAUGGAACUGAGAUACGGUCCAUACUCCUACGGGAGGCAGCAGUGGGGAAUCUUGCACAAUGGACGAAAGUCUGAUGCAGCGAUUCCGCGUGGAGGAUGACGCAUUACGGUGUGUAAACUCCUUUUUUGGUGGAAGACGAAUGACGGUACACCAAGAAUAAGGGACGGCUAACUACGUGCCAGCAGCCGCGGUAAUACGUAGGUCCCAAGCGUUAUCCGGAUUUACUGGGCGUAAAGUGUCCGUAGCCUGAUAUAUAAGUCUGUUUUUAAAUACCACGACUCAAUCGUGGAAAGGGAAUAGAUACUGUGUAUCUAGAGAAUAUUGGAGGUUAGUGGAAUUUCCGGUGGAGCGGUGAAAUGUGUUGAUAUCGGAAAGAACGCCGAAAGCGAAAGCAGCUAACUAUGAUAUAUCUGACGGUGAUGGACGAAAGCUUGAGUAGCAAACGGGAUUAGAUACCCCGGUAGUUCAAGCUGUAAAUUAUCCUCGCUAGUUUUGUGAUAGCAUUUGUUAUUAUAAGUGCCGUAAGUUAACACGUUAAGCGGAGGCGCCUGAGUAGUAUAUUCGCAGAUGAAACUCAAAGGAAUUGACGGGGACACACAGCAGUGAUGAUCUAGAUAUGAUAUAGCAAAAUC